UACGUAGGGCGCAAGCGUUGUCCGGAUUUAUUGGGCGUAAAGAGUUCGUAGGCGGUUUGUCGCGUCGUUUGUGAAAACCAGCAGCUCAACUGCUGGCUUGCAGGCGAUACGGGCAGACUUGAGUACUGCAGGGGAGACUGGAAUUCCUGGUGUAGCGGUGAAAUGCGCAGAUAUCAGGAGGAACACCGGUGGCGAAGGCGGGUCUCUGGGCAGUAACUGACGCUGAGGAACGAAAGCGUGGGUAGCGAACAGG
rnacentral:rRNA from 1 species